rnacentral:rRNA from 1 species
GAUGAGCGCUGGCGGCGUGCUUAACACAUGCAAGUCGAACGGAAAGGCUCCUGCUUCAGGGGUACUCGAGUGGCGAACGGGUGAGUAACACGUGGGUGAUCUGCCCUGCACUUCGGGAUAAGCCUGGGAAACUGGGUCUAAUACCGGAUAGGACGAUGGUUUGGAUGCCAUUGUGGAAAGUUUUUCGGUGUGGGAUGAGCUCGCGGCCUAUCAGCUUGUUGGUGGGGUAAUGGCCUACCAAGGCGUCGACGGGUAGCCGGCCUGAGAGGGUGUACGGCCACAUUGGGACUGAGAUACGGCCCAGACUCCUACGGGAGGCAGCAGUGGGGAAUAUUGCACAAUGGGCGCAAGCCUGAUGCAGCGACGCCGCGUGGGGGAUGACGGCCUUCGGGUUGUAAACUCCUUUCGCUAGGGACGAAGCGCAAGUGACGGUACCUGGAGAAGAAGCACCGGCUAACUACGUG